ACCCCACCCCACCCCACUACCAGCACACAAAAUUUCCUUUCCUUUUCCUCUUGUUGCCUUGCCCCGGUGCCUCCCCACCGGCCACUGGUGACGGCGUCGCGGCAACGCCGUCAGGGCCAGGGACCGAAAAGGAAAGCCAAGGUGGAGGAGAAGGAGGGCGAGGGUGGGUGGGUGAUCGAGGAGGGAGCAGCGGCCAGCUACGGCCGAACCCUACACCGCAGCGACCUCACCGCGCCGCGCUUGCCGUUUUUGGCCGGCUGAUCGGAGGAGGGAGAUUUUUCUGGUUUGGUUUGGUUUCCGAUUAGAUUUGUGGUGGGAGAAGAGAAGAGGGGCGAAAAUGGUGCGGGGGAAGACGCAGAUGAAGCGGAUAGAGAACCCGACGAGCCGGCAGGUGACCUUCUCCAAGCGCCGCGGCGGCCUGCUGAAGAAGGCCUUCGAGCUCUCCGUCCUCUGCGACGCCGAGGUCGCGCUCGUCGUCUUCUCCCCCCGCGGCAGGCUCUACGAAUUCGCCAGCUCCAGCAUGAAGAACACAAUUGAACGUUAUAAGACAGUCACAAAGGAUAAUUUGGGCAGACAGACGGUACAGCAAGAUAUAGAGAAAGUAAAAGCUGAUGCUGAGGGCUUGUCAAAGAAGCUUGAUGCUCUUGAAGCUUGCAAAAGCAAACUUUUGGGCCAAAAUUUGGAAGAAUGCUCUAUUGAAGAACUGCAAAGCUUAGAGGUCAAAAUUGAAAGAAGCCUUCUAGGCAUCAGGGCAAUGAAGACUCGGCGGUUCGAAGAGCAGCUCUCUACGUUGAGGCAGAAGGAGAUGAAGUUGCGGCAGGACAAUGAAGAACUAUAUAGCCAGUGCCAGAAGGAACAGCACUCUGCGUUGGAGGCGGCCGCGCCCCCUGCUCCGGCGACCUUGGCGGCGCUCCCUGCUCCAGUGACCCUGGCGGAGCAGGGCCAGCAGGUGGUGGAUGUGGAGACGGAUCUAUUUCUUGGAUUGCCCGGCACCGGCCGCUCCUGAGAUUCAGGCAGGCUGACAACGCCUGAGAAAAAUGCCCAGAAUAAGCUGGCAAUGGAGUUGCAAGCAGCAGCAGGCAAUGGAUGCGGACGGCGUAUAGAUAUAAUAUAAACCCUGUGCAGCGGAAACCUCGAGAGUACAUACAUGAAUUAGUUGUUGUUGUUGAUGUUUCCCCGGGCUCUGGUUGUGAUGUGCCGAUGUCGUUGAUGAGAGGAACGGAUCGUCCGCCAUAGAUCCUCUGGAGAAGAAGGGUGGCGGAGGGAAAGCUAACGGAUAUUUAUGGUGGCACGCGGGCGAAGGAGCAGGAGCAGGUCGCCUCUUGGGCGCGCGACGGAGGUGUUGCGUGGGGCGAAGCGACGUUUGGAUUUUGCGUCUGGUUGCCAGCUCCCUCUGCACUUCCAUGGUCGGCGACGAAACGCGUCGGGCGCGCAGAGGAAAGCAGCUCCUCGUUUCCUGUUCCGUCUCACUCUGCGAGUGGGAAAUGAGAAGGGCUUGGCCGGCGGUUGGUAAUAGAGAUCGACACGACUCUCUAUUGCCGAAGUUUCGAACCUCUUCCCGGGUGUGCACGCGUACAUGUUCCAGGAGGAUCGAUUUACCUUUGUGAACAAAACGAUGAAACUUAUAUUUCAGUAAAAAGAAAACGACGGAAGUGAUGAGGAUAGAAAAGCUGGGCCAAAAUUGGAAACGGGCCUAACUGUCAG
rnacentral:rRNA from 1 species